GAGAGAAGAUCCAAAGUUAUAAUUAGUGAUUGGAACUCCAUUAAUAUCUAUUUUACUAUUCUAUGAAGUUUUCUAACCUAAUUGCUUUCAUGAAUUGCUUGGCGAUGUCUGAGUAGUUCCACUGUUAGAUUCAGGGUUUAAAUAGGUUACGAGGGAUUAGCCCCAACUAUAGAUUGCUUAGUUGUGGUAAUUUUCAUUAGGAUUGUUCAUUAAUGUCUGUUUCUAGAUUAGCUACAUAGAACUUGCCCUAGGAUUGAUAGAUAAAAGCAAGAGCUUCAUUCUCAUCCUGAAAACAUUCUAACUAAGCUAAGUUUCUUGCUAAGAGUAAGGCGAGAGCUGAUCUUGUGAG
rnacentral:lncRNA from 1 species